rnacentral:rRNA from 1 species
AUGUCUACUCACAUGGAUAAUAUCUUGGAUGUGGAGCCAAGGGCUAUGUCCUUCCACUUUGUAAGAGACACUACAAAUGAUUUCUCUGAAGAGCAAGUGAUUGGCCAAGGUGGAUAUGGAAUUGUUUACAAGGGGGUUGAUAGGGAUGGACCGGUCAUUGCUGUGAGGAAGCUCUAUCCCAUAAGAGAAAUUGAUGAUGAGCAGCUCCAGAAGGAGUUUACGGGCCUCAAGAUGCUCAAUCAUCCAAAUAUUGUACGAUUACUUGCCUACUGCUAUGAACAAGAACAACUUCUUAUACCGUACAAAGAGAAACAUAUAUUUGCUCCUCGAACAAUUAGGGUGUUGUGCUUUGAGUACAUGAAAAAUGGAUCCCUUGAUCAGUACAUUGAAGAUGCUAGUUCUGGACUCAGUUGGCACGGACGGUACCAGAUAAUCAAGGGCAUAAGCGAAGGGUUAAGAUACCUCCACGAGGGAUUGAAGACUCCUAUUAUCCACAUGAAUCUAAAGCCUAGCAAUAUUUUGCUGGAUCAUAACAUGAUACCGAAGAUAGCUGAUUUUGGUCUGCGAAGGCUCGUUGGAGAAGGAAACGCCAGAUGUAUGGGAACAAUUGCAUACAUGUCGCCGGAAUUCAUUGAAAGACAAGUAAUCUCGCAUAAGUGUGACAUAUAUAGCCUUGGUGUUAUAAUCAUAAAGCUGAUAACAGGGGAGAGAUUAUAUUCGGGACAUUUUGAUAUGUCUUCAGAUAGGUUUAUCGAGCUGGCGCAUGAAGAAUGGAGGGAGAGGCUACAGAAAACUUUGAAUGGUAUGUCACUUGAAGGAUAUUCCCAGCAAAUUAAGAAAUGCUUGGAGAUAGCAUUCAAAUGCGUGGAGUUAGACAGACACGAGAGGCCUUCCAUCGGAGAUAUCAUAGAUAGGCUGAACGAAACUGAAACCUUGAUUCCAGAAGAAGUUCGAGCAGUACAUACCCGGAUUGAUUCAACACACUCUGAGCUGCUUGAAGUCCACCCACAAGAGCUCUACUUCCCAUUCAUGUUGAAAGGAAGAUACGAGGCCAUGAGCUCCUGCUCGCUGCAGCUAAAGAACAGAGGAGACAACCGCGUGGCGUUCAUGCUUGUAGCCAGCAACCCCGAUAGAUACUUGACAAGGAAGCCGCUCUGCGGUAUUGUGCCUCCAAGGUGCGUCUACACUCUCAGUCUCACAAUGCUCCAGCAGACAGCAUCAACAUCAUCAUCGGACAGCAGCGACUUCUUCACACUGUACACCACGGCAGUGGGACAACACGACCUCCUAGAUGUUCCCAAAGAUGUUGUCUCCGUUGAGUACGACUACUUCUUUAAGAAAGUCCAAAAGAUGCCCGGUGCCAGAGAUAAGGUGCAAGUGGCGACGUUGAAGGUCAUCUGUGAUCGACGACCAGCCACCAAGUCUAUAGGGAGAUCACCUUCACCUGAGUUAAACACUCUUUUGAGAAACAGUUUUCUGGAAUCUUCUAUUUUGGGGAGUCCACACUUAUUUUCUAGCAAUCUGAUGCGGCUAACUUCCCAGGAUGGUCAGCUCCAUACAUCACCGAUUACAAUGAAAUAA